CUUUUCUUCUCCUCUAUAAAAUGGUCAGUGGACAACAUGUGGAGAACCUGGACUUCUACCCCACCUGUCAGUAAUGAGGUCCAUGCAACACAGCUGCUGUGAGCCAUGUUGGAUCAAUCAUGUUAUAACUUGGAGGGAGAUGUGACCCUACUCCACGCAGUCCAGAAUCUGCGGACUAAGCAGACACACAAUGAGAG